rnacentral:rRNA from 1 species
AGAUUGAACGCUGGCGGCAUGCCUUACACAUGCAAGUCGAACGGCAGCACGGGAGCAAUCCUGGUGGCGAGUGGCGAACGGGUGAGUAAUAUAUCGGAACGUGCCCAGUAGUGGGGGAUAGCCCGGCGAAAGCCGGAUUAAUACCGCAUACGACCUGAGGGUGAAAGCGGGGGAUCGCAAGACCUCGCGCUACUGGAGCGGCCGAUAUCAGAUUAGCUAGUUGGUGGGUAAAGGCCUACCAAGGCAACGAUCUGUAGUUGGUCUGAGAGGACGACCAGCCACACUGGACUGAGACACGGCCCAGACUCCUACGGGAGGCAGCAGUGGGGAAUUUUGGGACAAGUGGGCGCAAGCCUGAUCCAGCAAUGCCGCGUGCAGGAAGAAGGCCGUUGGUUGUAACGUGUCUUUUGUCGAGGGAAGAAUCGUUACGUCGGUACGUAACGUACCCCGGG